CAAGGUUAAAACUCAAAGGAAUUGACGGGGACCCGCACAAGCGGCGGAGCAUGCGGAUUAAUUCGAUGCAACGCGAAGAACCUUACCAAGGCUUGACAUAUACGAGAACGGGCCAGAAAUGGUCAACUCUUUGGACACUCGUAAACAGGUGGUGCAUGGUUGUCGUCAGCUCGUGUCGUGAGAUGUUGGGUUAAGUCCCGCAACGAGCGCAACCCUCGUUCUAUGUUGCCAGCACGUAAUGGUGGGAACUCAUGGGAUACUGCCGGGGUCAACUCGGAGGAAGGUGGGGAUGACGUCAAAUCAUCAUGCCCCUUAUGUCUUGGGCUUCACGCAUGCUACAAUGGCCGGUACAAAGGGCUGCAAUACCGCGAGGUGGAGCGAAUCCCAAAAAGCCGGUCCCAGUUCGGAUUGAGGUCUGCAACUCGACCUCAUGAAGUCGGAGUCGCUAGUAAUCGCAGAUCAGC
rnacentral:rRNA from 1 species